rnacentral:rRNA from 1 species
AGUGAACGCUGGCGGUAGGCCUAACACAUGCAAGUCGAACGGCAGCACAGUACUAGCUUGCUCUUACGGGUGGCGAGUGGCGGACGGGUGAGGAAUACAUCGGAACCUACUUUUUCGUGGGGGAUAACGUAGGGAAACUUACGCUAAUACCGCCAACGAGUUACGGGUGAAAUCAGGAGAUCUUCGUCGCUUGCGCAUUAGAAUGAGGCGUUGUCGGAUUUGCUAGGUGGCGUGGUAAAGGCCUACCAAGGCGACGAUCCGUAGCCGGUCUGUGAGGAUGAGCAGCCACACUGGGACUGAGACACGGUCCAGACUCCUACGGGAGGCAGCAGCGGGGAAUAUUGGACAAUGGGCGAAAGCCUGAUACAGCCAUACCGCGUAGGUGAAGAAGGCCUUCGGGUUGUAAAGCCCUUUUGUUGGGAAAGAAAAGCAGCAGGUUAAUACCCCGCUGUGCUGACGGUAGCCAAAGAAUAAGCACCGGCUAACUUCGUG